CUACGGGCGGCAGCAGUGGGGAAUAUUGGACAAUGGGGGAAACCCUGAUCCAGCAAUGCCGCGUGUGUGAAGAAGGCCUGCGGGUUGUAAAGCACUUUCGGUUGGGAGGACUGCUUCUAGCACUAAUAUUGUUGGAAGUUGACGUUACCUUCAGAAGAAGCACCGGCUAACUCCGUGCCAGGCAGCCGCGGUAAUACGGAGGGUGCAUGCGUUAAUCGGAAUUACUGGGCGUAAAGCGCGCGUAGGCGGCUAGAUCAGUCGGGUGUGAAAGCCCCGGGCUUAACCUGGGAACUGCAUCCGAUACUGUCUAGCUUGAGUACAGGAGAGGAGGGUGGAAUUCCACAUGUAGCGGUGAAAUGCGUAGAUAUGUGGAGGAACACCAAUGGCGAAGGCAGCUCUCUGGCCUGAUACUGACGCUGAGGUGCGAAAGCGUGGGGAGCAAACAGGAUUAGAUACCCCGGUAGUC
rnacentral:rRNA from 1 species